CACCGCGCCAAGGCGCCAGUAAGGUCCAGCAGCGCGCUGAACAGAGAAGACGUGACAGGGUCCCCUGUUUGCACACGGCACUGGAAUAACGGCGACGCUCGGACCAACCACCUGCACUGCUGCUGUGUGUUUCUUGCUGCUGACUUAAUUUAUUUGCUGCAGGACAUCGUUACACCAAUUUUCUUCCACGCGAGAGGCAGCCAGUGCGACGCUCUGGAUCCGUACGGAUUGGCUGUUGCGAGAGUCCCGGCAGUGCCGCUGCUGCUCAGAGAGGGAGGACUGCAGGUGGAACAAGUCUGCAGUAAGAAAGCAGCACAUCCCCAGCCUUCUUCUCAGAGACUUGAGGGAGGCUAAAGAUCUGUCUGGACCUUCACUAAACACUAGUGAUCACAUUAAUGGACACACUGAACAACACCAUU